CGAUGCGGCUCUUUCAUGCAUUCGACCGCGACACGGGGGCACCCUGGAUGGCGAGUGGCGAACGGUUGAGUAAUGCAUCAUAACUUGUCCCGUAGUGGGGGAUAACCCAGCGAAAGCUGGGCUAAUACCGGAUAUGCUCUACGGACGAAAGUGGGGGACCUGCAAGGGGCUCACGCUAUGGGAGCGGCCGAUGUCCGAUUAGCUUGUUGGUGGGGUAAUGGCCUACCAAGGCGACGAUCGGUAGCUGGUCUGAGGGAUGAUCAGCCACACUGGGACUGACACACGGCCCACACUCCUACUGGAGGCACUCCUGGGGAAUUUUGGACAAUGGGGGCAACCCUGAUCCAGCCAUGCCGCGUGAGUGAAGAAGGCCUUCGGGUUGUAAAGCUCUUUUGGUCGGGAAGAAAGGGUCUCCGUUAAUACCGGGGACUGUUGACGGUACCGGCAGAAUAAGCACCGGCUAACUACGUGCCAGCAGCCGCGGUAAUACGUAGGGUGCGAGCGUUAAUCGGAAUUACUGGUCGUAAAGCCUGCGCUUGCGGUUCGUUAAGUCUGAUGUGAAAGCCUCGGGCUCAACCUGUCAAUGGCAUUGAAAACUGGCGGGCUCGAGUAUGGUGCAUGGCUGUGGAACUCCACGUGUAACCUUGAAAUGCAUAGAGAUGUGGCAUAACUCCGAUGGCGAACGCAGCCGCCUGGGUCAAUACUGACGCUCGCGCACGACAGCGAGGGGAGCAAACUAGAUUAGAUACCCUGAUAGUCCACGCCCUAAACCAUGAUCACUAAGUGUUGGGGAAGCGAUUCCUUGCUACCCAACCUAACGCGUGAAGUGAUCCGCCUGGAGAGUAGCGUCGCGAGAUUUAAACUCACAGGAAUAGACCG
rnacentral:rRNA from 1 species